GCCGGAGUGGCGGAACAGGUAGACGCGCCGGUCUCAAAAAUCGGUCUGGGGCGACCCAGGUGUGGGUUCGAGUCCCACCUCCGGCACCA
rnacentral:tRNA from 1 species